GUCCACGCCGUAAACGAUGAGUACUAGGUGUGGGGGGGUAUCGACCCCCUCCCGUGCCGAAGCCAACGCGAUAAGUACUCCGCCUGGGGACUACGGCCGCAAGGCUAAAACUCAAAGGAAUUGACGGGGGCCCGCACAAGCAGCGGAGCGUGUGGUUUAAUUCGAUGAUACGCGAAGAACCUCACCCAGGUUUGACAUGCACGUUUACCGAUCCGAAAGGUGAGGGACCCUUCGGGGCGCGUGCACAGGUGUUGCAUGGCCGUCGU
rnacentral:rRNA from 1 species